CUAGCGCAAUUGGUUUCGUAAUUAUUAAAUUUAUUUAUAUAUGUGUGUAUAUAUAUAUAUAAAAGGAAAAUAAAUGUAUAGGAUUAAACAUGGUGGAGUGCAGAAAUAAUUUAUUAAAUCUGCGAUAGAAAAUAACGAAGAUAUAUCGGCAAGUAGGUAUCGACGGUGCAAAUAUUUCGGAAAGUAGGUCAAGUGGGUGUCCUCAUUCUACCUUUUAUUUAGCUCAGCGAGUACGAGUAACGAUGCCGUACGCACGUUACUAAAUUUACUAAUACGACGUGUAAUUAUAAAAUAUGUAACACAAUCGAAUCAUCGAAAGGUGGCGCCAAAACUGUGUAUAGAGUUGAAUUGCGCUAUCUCUUUCACGUGUGGCAAUUCAAAUAUUUUAUUUGCGAAACAAAGCAUUAAUUGGUGUUUAAAACGUUAAUUUAACAAAGAAUAGUUAAUUCACGUGACGUGGACUACAUACAAUUUCUAUCCAUUAAAAGCAUUGCCUAAUUUUGAAUGAGAAAGGGUGCUCGUAAGAGGGAGACAGGAGAUGAACUUCGAAUCAAAAGAUAAAUUCGAUAAAGAUGCGCCGUUUAGCAUUAAGAAAGAACCCGUUUGGGAUAAUGAUAUCGAGAUAAAGCAAGAGUUGGAGUUUGAGGAAGUAUGCAGGAAUAUCAAAGCGGAAUGUGAUGAUUGGAAUAUGGUUAAAGUUGAGCAAGAUAUACAGGUAAAUAGGCUUAAUUUGGAUGAUGAUGAUCUUGCAUUAUUGAUGAUGACUUCAUUGUCGGAAUGAGCGUAAGAGUAAGACGGUACAUGCAAUAUGCUACUGCGUGUAAGACACCGAUUUUAAUAAUAUCCUA